UUAAGCGAAUAAGCGUACACGGUGGAUGCCUAGGCAAUCAGAGGCGAUGAAGGACGUGCUAAUCUGCGAUAAGCGUCGGUAAGGUGAUAUGAACCGUUAUACCCGACGAUUUCCGAAUGGGGAAACCCAAUAUCCAAUGGAUAUUAUCAUGACGUGAAUACAUAGCGUCAUGAAGCGAACCGGGAGAACUGAAACAUCUCAGUACCCCGAGGAAAAGAAAUCAACCGAGAUUCCCCUAGUAGCGGCGAGCGAACGGGGAAUAGCCCAGAGUCUUAAUCAACAGCAGCAUCAGGAGAACGGUCUGGAAAGUCCGGCAGUAAAGGGUGAUAGCCCCGUAUCUGAAGAUGCUGUUAUUGUGAACUCGACGAGUAGGGCGGGACACGUGUUAUCCUGUCUGAAUAUGGGGGGACCAUCCUCCAAGGCUAAAUACUCCUGAUUGACCGAUAGUGAACCAGUACCGUGAGGGAAAGGCGAAAAGAACCCCGGCGAGGGGAGUGAAAAAGAACCUGAAACCGUGUACGUACAAGCAGUAGGAGCCUCUUUAUGGGGUGACUGCGUACCUUUUGUAUAAUGGGUCAGCGACUUAUAUUCUGUAGCAAGGUUAACCGUAUAGGGGAGCCGUAGGGAAACCGAGUCUUAACUGGGCGAAUGAGUUGCAGGGUAUAGACCCGAAACCCGGUGAUCUAUCCAUGGGCAGGUUGAAGGUUGGGUAACACUAACUGGAGGACCGAACCGACUAAUGUUGAAAAAUUAGCGGAUGACUUGUGGAUGGGGGUGAAAGGCCAAUCAAACCGGGAGAUAGCUGGUUCUCCCCGAAAGCUAUUUAGGUAGCGCCUCGUGAACUCAUCUUCGGGGGUAGAGCACUGUUUCGACUAGGGGGUCAUCCCGACUUACCAACUCGAUGCAAACUGCGAAUACCGAAGAAUGUUAUCACGGGAGACACACGGCGGGUGCUAACGUCCGUCGUGAAGAGGGAAACAACCCAGACCGCCAGCUAAGGUCCCAAAGUCAUGGUUAAGUGGGAAACGAAGUGGGAAGGCUCAGACAGCCAGGAUGUUGGCUUAGAAGCAGCCAUCAUUUAAAGAAAGCGUAAUAGCUCACUGGUCGAGUCGGCCCGCGCGGAAGAUGUAACGGGGCUAAACCAUGCACCGAAGCUGCGGCAGCGACACUAUGUGUUGUUGGGUAGGGGAGCGUUCUGUAAGCCUGCGAAGGUGUACUGUGAGGUAUGCUGGAGGUAUCAGAAGUGCGAAUGCUGACAUAAGUAACGAUAAUGCGGGUGAAAAACCCGCACGCCGGAAGACCAAGGGUUCCUGUCCAACGUUAAUCGGGGCAGGGUGAGUCGACCCCUAAGGCGAGGCUGAAAAGCGUAGUCGAUGGGAAACGGGUUAAUAUUCCCGUACUGGUGGUAACUGCGAUGGGGGAACGGAGAAGGCUAGGUUGUCCGGGCGACGGUCGUCCCGGUUCAAGCAUGUAGGCAGAGUGAUUAGGCAAAUCCGGUCACUUAAUGCUGAGGUGUGAUGACGAGCCACUAAGGUGGUGAAGCAAUUGAUGCCCUGCUUCCAGGAAAAGCCUCUAAGCUUCAGGUUACCAACAAUCGUACCCCAAACCGACACAGGUGGUCAGGUAGAGAAUACUCAGGCGCUUGAGAGAACUCGGGUGAAGGAACUAGGCAAAAUGGUGCCGUAACUUCGGGAGAAGGCACGCUGGCGGUAAGUGAAGUCCCUUGCGGACGGAGCCGAAGCCAGUCGAAGAUACCAGCUGGCUGCAACUGUUUAUUAAAAACACAGCACUGUGCAAACACGAAAGUGGACGUAUACGGUGUGACGCCUGCCCGGUGCUGGAAGGUUAAUUGAUGGGGUUAUCCGUAAGGAGAAGCUCUUGAUCGAAGCCCCAGUAAACGGCGGCCGUAACUAUAACGGUCCUAAGGUAGCGAAAUUCCUUGUCGGGUAAGUUCCGACCUGCACGAAUGGCGUAAUGAUGGCCAGGCUGUCUCCACCCGAGACUCAGUGAAAUUGAACUCGCUGUGAAGAUGCAGUGUACCCGCGGCAAGACGGAAAGACCCCGUGAACCUUUACUAUAGCUUGACACUGAACAUUGAGCCUUGAUGUGUAGGAUAGGUGGGAGACUUAGAAGUGUGGACGCCAGUCUGCAUGGAGUCAACCUUGAAAUACCACCCUUUAACGUUUGAUGUUCUAACCUAGGUCCAUAAUCUGGAUCGGGGACCGUGUCUGGUGGGUAGUUUGACUGGGGCGGUCUCCUCCUAAAGAGUAACGGAGGAGCACGAAGGUUGGCUAAGCAUGGUCGGACAUCAUGCGGUUAGUGCAAAGGCAUAAGCCAGCUUGACUGUGAGAGUGACGGCUCGAGCAGGUACGAAAGUAGGUCUUAGUGAUCCGGUGGUUCUGAAUGGAAGGGCCAUCGCUCAACGGAUAAAAGGUACUCCGGGGAUAACAGGCUGAUACCGCCCAAGAGUUCAUAUCGACGGCGGUGUUUGGCACCUCGAUGUCGGCUCAUCACAUCCUGGGGCUGAAGUAGGUCCCAAGGGUAUGGCUGUUCGCCAUUUAAAGUGGUACGCGAGCUGGGUUUAGAACGUCGUGAGACAGUUCGGUCCCUAUCUGCCGUGGGCGUUGGAAGAUUGAGAGGGGUUGCUCCUAGUACGAGAGGACCGGAGUGAACGCACCACUGGUGUUCGGGUUGUCAUGCCAAUGGCAUUGCCCGGUAGCUAAGUGCGGAAGAGAUAACCGCUGAAAGCAUCUAAGCGGGAAACUUGCCUCGAGAUGAGUCUUCCCUGUCACCUUGAGUGACCUAAAGGAACGUUUAAGACUAAGACGUUGAUAGGCUGGGUGUGUAAGCGUAGCGAUACGUUGAGCUAACCAGUACUAAUGAACCGUGAGGCUUAACCUG
rnacentral:rRNA from 1 species